rnacentral:rRNA from 1 species
AUAUCAAUAAGCGGAGGAAAAGAAACCAACAGGGAUUGCCCCAGUAACGGCGAGUGAAGCGGCAAUAGCUCAAAUUUGAAAUCUGGCCCUUUCAGGGUCCGAGUUGUAAUUUGCAGAGGGCGCUUUGGUGUCGGCAGCAGCCUAAGUUCCUUGGAACAGGUCAUCAUAGAGGGUGAGAAUCCCGUAUGUGGCUGCUUGUCUUCACCGUGUAAAGCCCCUUCGAUGAGUCGAGUUGUUUGGGAAUGCAGCUCUAAAUGGGAGGUAAAUUUCUUCUAAAGCUAAAUAUUGGCCAGAGACCGAUAGCGCACAAGUAGAGUGAUCGAAAGAUGAAAAGCACUUUGGAAAGAGAGUCAAAAAGCACGUGAAAUUGUUGAAAGGGAAGCGCUUGCAGCCAGACGUGCCCGUAGUUGCUCAUCUGGGGUUUUCCCCAGUGCACUCUUCUAUGGGCAGGCCAGCAUCAGUUCGGGCGGUUGGAGAAAGACCUGUGUCACGUAGCUCUCUUCGGGGAGUGUUAUAGGGCAGGUGGAAUGCAACCAGCCUGAACUGAGGUCCGCGCAUCUGCUAGGAUGCUGGCGUAAUGGCUGUAAGCGGCCCGUCUUGAAACACGGACCAAGGAGUCUAACAUCUAUGCGAGUGUUUGGGUGUCAAGCCCGAGCGCGUAAUGAAAGUGAACGGAGGUGGGAACCCCUCGGGGCGCACCAUCGACCGAUCCUGAUGUCUUCGGAUGGAUUUGAGUAAGAGCAUAGCUGUUGGGACCCGAAAGAUGGUGAACUAUGCCUGAAUAGGGUGAAGCCAGAGGAAACUCUGGUGGAGGCUCGCAGCGGUUCUGACGUGCAAAUCGAUCGUCAAAUUUGGGCAUAGGGGCGAAAGACUAAUCGAACUAUCUAGUAGCUGGUUCCUGC